GGCGGACGGGUUUAGUAACGCGUGGGAACGUACCCUUCUCUACGGAAUAGCCUUUGGAAACGAAGAGUAAUACCGUAUACGCCCUUUGGGGGAAAGAUUUAUCGGAGAAGGAUCGGCCCGCGUUAGAUUAGAUAGUUGGUGGGGUAACGGCCUACCAAGUCUACGAUCUAUAGCUGGUUUUAGAGGAUGAUCAGCAACACUGGGACUGAGACACGGCCCAGACUCCUACGGGAGGCAGCAGUGGGGAAUCUUAGACAAUGGGCGCAAGCCUGAUCUAGCCAUGCCGCGUGAGUGAUGAAGGCCUUAGGGUCGUAAAGCUCUUUCGCCUGUGAUGAUAAUGACAGUAGCAGGUAAAGAAACCCCGGCUAACUCCGUGCCAGCAGCCGCGGUAAUACGGAGGGGGUUAGCGUUGUUCGGAAUUACUGGGCGUAAAGCGCAC
rnacentral:rRNA from 1 species